rnacentral:rRNA from 1 species
UACGUAGGGUGCGAGCGUUAAUCGGAAUUACUGGGCGUAAAGCGUGCGCAGGCGGUUCGUUAAGUUCGAUGUGAAAGCCCCGGGCUCAACCUGGGAACUGCAUUGGAAACUGGCGAGCUUGAGUAUGGCAGAGGGGGGUGGAAUUCCGCGUGUAGCAGUGAAAUGCGUAGAGAUCGGGAGGAACACCAGUGGCGAAGGCGACCACCUGGACUGAUACUGACACUGAGGUGCGAAAGCGUGGGGAGCAAACAGG